CCUGGAUGGCCCAGAUGGCCCCACUAUAAAGCUGAAGUCUGGAUCGAUUAGCCAGAGUGUUCACCGUUAAACCAAGACCAAAGAAUAAAGAUGAGAGCUUUGAUAUUGCUGUGUAUGGCGGGUAUUAUUUUAGCACGACCAAAAGGAAGUGGGCGUGUGGAACGCCAGGUGGGGUCAAAAGUUGUCAAAAGACAUGAACCAACAGUACUAGACCCGUGGAAAGACUAUACUGGUUUUGAGUUCUACUCCGGGUCAAAGAAAGACAAUUCCACCCCAACAAUGAUUGUUGCUAAUGAUUCCAUUUCCAACCACACCAUGAUUGAUUCUAAUGAUUCAAACUCAACAGUGGAUGAACCGUAUAAUCGACAGCAAAGGCAUUUGUAUUAAAUAUGUAACAACCUGCUUAGAUAAGUGCAAAGCUGAACAACCCAACUAAUUGUCUUCAGUCGAUGUUAGUUAUCAUAGGACUAUAAUUAAUAUUUCCCCGCACAUUAUGACCAUGGAACCAGGACUCCAGCAGACACGCAGGCAUUCAAAUGAAUGGUUACCUGACUGCAUCUGUAUACCAUGAAUCAUUUUAUGAAAAUAAAGUCUUUGUUCAAUAUCAAGAUAAUCCCUACCAACAAAAA